AUUGAACGCUGGCGGCAGGCCUAACACAUGCAAGUCGAACGGUAACAGGAAGCAGCUUGCUGCUUUGCUGACGAGUGGUGGACGGGUGAGUAAUGUCUGGGAAACUGCCCGAUGGAGGGGGAUAACUACUGGAAACGGUAGCUAAUACCGCAUAACGUCGCAAGACCAAAGAGGGGGACCUUAGGGCCUCUUGCCAUCGGAUGUGCCCAGAUGGGAUUAGCUAGUAGGUGGGGUAACGGCUCACCUAGGCGACGAUCCCUAGCUGGUCUGAGAGGAUGACCAGCCACACUGGAACUGAGACACGGUCCAGACUCCUACGGGAGGCAGCAGUGGGGAAUAUUGCACAAUGGGCGCAAGCCUGAUGCAGCCAUGCCGCGUGUAUGAAGAAGGCCUUCGGGUUGUAAAGUACUUUCAGCGGAGAGGAAGGGAGUAAAGUUAAUACCUUUGCUCAUUGACGUUACCCGCAGAAGAAGCACCGGCUAACUCCGUG
rnacentral:rRNA from 1 species